UUCAAUUCAACAGAAGACUCGUAUUCGUAGCUGGAAGAAACCUUCAAUUCUGGGCUAAUAUCAGAUGGUGAAACCUCACAAUCUCUACUGCAAGUCAAAGCCUUCAUAUUUGAGAGGUGUUCAGCUUGUUCAGUUUGGCUAGGUUCCACUUUCACAGUUCGCUGUUCUACUAUCCCAGAAGACUCAUAUUCGUAGCUGGAAGAAACCUUCAAUUCUGGGCUAAUAUCAGAUGGUGAAACCUCACAAUCUCCACUGCAAGUCAAAGCCUUCAUAUUUGAGAGGCGUUCAGCUUGUUCAGUUUGGCUAGGUUCCACUUCCACAAUUCGCUGUUCUACUAUCCCAGAAGAUUCGGUAGUUUGAAUUUGAAGGCUUGAUGGCCG
rnacentral:lncRNA from 1 species